rnacentral:ncRNA from 1 species
GUCAAUAAGGAAAGCAGGAAAGACCGGACGCAGCGAUAGGGCGGUUCACAAGUAACAUGGUAGUUAUGCUGACAAACGUAUCAGAUGGAGUGAAUGCAGAAUAAACAUGGUCCGGCAAAGCAGUUGAAGAAAGUAGGAACGGUAGGACAAGAAAGCAUAGAGUUCGGAACUAUUUGAAGAAAACUGAACAGGUUGAGCCAAUCAACACUUUACUCCUCUACCAAGAAGCUGUUAAGCGGAAGAAUCAACCGAGCGAGAGGACACAGUACCUUGUUGAC